rnacentral:ncRNA from 1 species
CAAAAGACGAAGAAUGGGAAGAGUAAGGCGCCGGAAGUCUUGCAGAGAGCGGGGAAAGCUGAGAACCCGCAGACCGGAACGCGCCCGAACAUCGCCCAGGAGCCGCAGGGUUGAAAAGAUAGAGUAGGCCUUGCCGGGGUCCGGCCGUUAUUCCGGGCAUAAGAAACAAUAUGGGUGGUACCGCGGUCCGCUUCUCGCCCCAUGC